GACGAACGCUGGCGGCGUGCCUAAUACAUGCAAGUAGAACGCACAGUUUAUACUGUCGCUUGCUACACCAUAGACUGUGAGUUGCGAACGGGUGAGUAACGCGUAGGUAACCUGCCUGGUAGCGGGGGAUAACUAUUGGUAACGAUAGCUACUACCGCAUAAUAUUAAUUAUUGCAUGAUAAUUAAUUUAACGGUGCAAUUGCACCACUACUAGAUGGACCUGGGUCGUAUUAGCUAGGAGGGGAGGUAACGGCCUACCAAGGCGACGAUACAUAACUGGUCUGAGAGGAUGAUGAGGAAAAAUGGAACUGGGAAACGGUCCGAACUCCUACGGGAGGAAGAAGGGGGGAAUAUGGGACAAUGUGCGAAAUCCUGAUCCAGCCAUGCCGCGUGUGGGAAGAAGGUCUUCGAAUUGUAAAGCACUUUAAGUUGGGAGGAAGGGCAGUAAGUUAAUACCUUGCUGUUUUGACGUUACCAACAGAAUAAGCACCGGCUAACUUCGUG
rnacentral:rRNA from 1 species